rnacentral:rRNA from 1 species
UACGUAGGGGGCUAGCGUUGUCCGGAUUUAUUGGGCGUAAAGAGCGUGUAGGCGGCCAGGUAGGUCUGCUGUGAAAACUCGAGGCUCAACCUCGAGACGUCGGCGGAAACCAUCUGGCUAGAGUGCGGUAGAGGAUAGUGGAAUUUCCGGUGUAGCGGUGAAAUGCGUAGAUAUCGGGAGGAACACCUGUGGCGAAAGCGGCGCACUGGACCAUAACUGACGCUGAUGCGCGAAAGCUAGGGGAGCAAACAGG